rnacentral:lncRNA from 1 species
UAAAAAUUUGUCUUUAUUGAAGUUAUAUUUUUUAAUAUAGAUACAAUAUUCUUUAUGAAAUUAUUUGAAAGCAUUAAAGGGUACUACUCUUUGAUAAGUAUAUGGACAUAAUUCUUUAAUAGUAUACGUGUCAACCUAUUGCUGAUAACUAGUAAGGUAUAACACAUUCAAGUUAAGAUGUAGAACUUUUGAAAAUAACUGUGAAUGCCCAGGUACAAUAUUGUAUCUCCUUGGCUAAAUUUCAACUGCUUUCAGCCCUUGUUUAAUUCAGCCUUGAUUUUUUCCUGCCAGGGUAAGUACAAGCUAACCUUGGACUCACACUGAACAUUUGCUUAUUGUCAACAGUCUUCCAGGUUUCUAGUCCAUGUCCAGCUCCUGGUACUGCUUGGUAUUUUACCGUUCCUGCCUUUUGUAGCAGCUUGGAAUAAAAGAAUUCCCAUAGGGACACCAUCUCUUCUCUGGUCAAUGAGUAAAUCCAGUUGGCCAAGACUGGGGCUCAGGUUGAAGACACACCUGAAUGAAGAUGGAAGAAAGGAAUUGAAGAUAUUCAACCUUGAGAAGUGAAGACUCCGGGGAAAUGUGAGCACCAUUCUCAAAUCUUAUUAUGUUCAAGAAUUUUGUUCUGUUUGGCCCCAGAAUGAAGAGCUAAGAUGACCUCCAAGGUCCUUUCCAACUCUGAGAUUCCAUGACUCUACGGUUACUGUUCAGUAACUGUUCAGUUGUUUGCAACAAACCUCCUAUCUUUAUCUAUCUUAUAGGACCCAAAAGGCCAAGGGCAAUAACUUUUUAGGGGAACCAGGGAGCAAUGAAAGCUGUAAUUUCCUUCUUGGAACAGAAAAAUAAAACUCCUCUCUAAAAUGAGGGAUAUGCA